CAGAGCAGGCACAAACGAAGGAUACAGAGAACGAAACACAGCAAAGACUUAAACCAAAACCCUAAGUGCCUAACAGAUUAGGUCAUUUGCAUGAUCGCUGCCGAAAUCCCUACCCAAUGAAGCUCCUCCGUGUUUCAUUUACCGCCGCCGCCAAAACCUUUCGCUACGUGCUCCGAAACGGCGUGUCGCCGCCGAACGUAAACGCUUACAACGUCAUGAUCCGCGGCUUCGCCGCCGCCGCUGUGAACUUAGAAUCAGAAUCGGCGGUGGGGGAUGCGUCGGGGUUAUUGAAAGCAACGACUGAGAAGGGUGUGGAGCCGACUUUCAAUGCGAUUAUUCAGGGGUUGUGCAGGGAAGGUAGCAUAAUAGAGGCAGAGAAGAUGCUUGAGGAGAUGAAUCGGAAGGGUUUGGCCCCUGAUGAGAGGACUUACACGUCUCUCAUUCAUUUGUUCUGCGACAAGUGGCAGAACGUUAAGGCUCAUGAGGUUUUGAAUGAAAUGAUUCUUCGUGGGUUUUCGCCCUCGAUUGCUACAUACAACGACCUUCUUUAUGUAUAUUGCCGUGGGGGGGGAACGAGGGUUGAGGAGGCUGUGGGGAUUUUGAGGGGCAUGGCUGAGAGGGGUUUGUCCCCUGAUGUUGUUAGUUAUACCACUAUUAUAUCUGGGUUUUGCGUAUUCGACCAGGAGGUUGAGAAGGCUCUUGAGAUGAAGGUGGAGAUGGUUGAGAAGGGUAUCUUGCCUAAUGCUGCCACGUUUUCAAUGCUUAUACGAGCCCUGUGCCGGGAGGGAAGACUGCCCGAAGCUUUUGAUCUAUUCCGAGAGAUGCUGUGCGGCGGCUUUUCACCAGAUAAGUGUACUUAUUUGAUGUUGAUUAAUGCUUAUUGUGCUGAAGGUGAAUUCAGUAAGGUUUUUCAUUUGAAUGAUGAAAUGAUACACAAGGGUAUUUCGUCUAAUUUUGUUACUGGGUUUUCACCGUCUCUUGUCACAUACAACGCGCUUAUUCAUGGGUGUUGUGUUUUGCGGAGGGUUGAGGAUGCACUGGGGAUUUUGAGGGGCAUGGCUGAGUUGGGUUUGUCCCCUGACGCUGUUGGUUAUAACACUGUUAUAUCCGGGUUUUGCAAAAUCGGGGAGCCGGGGAAGGCGUAUAAAUUGAUGCUGGAGAUGGUUGGAAAGAACAUCCAGUGGCUGGAUGAAGACACAUAUGAAUCGCUUAUGGAAGACCUGUCAGAUGAGGAUACUUAUUCUAGUUUGAUGAAUGAGUAUUUAGCUGAAGGUAACUUGGAAAUGGCUUUUGAAUUUGAUCGUGAAGUCUCAAAAAAUGGUUAUUUGCCAAGUCAUGUUACCUAUAGUGCUCGUUUGAAUGGGCUUAUUAAGAAAGCUAGGACAACAGAAGCUAAGAUGCAUCUUUUGUGUAUGAUUUAUAAUCAGUGUUUGACUAUGCCAAGUUAUAUAACAUAUGAUACUCUGAUAGAGAACUGCAGUAAUAAUGAAUUCAAGAGUGUGGUAGGACUUGUCAAAGGUUUCAUCAAGAGGGGUUUACUGAAUGAAGCAGCCAGAGCUCAUGACACAAUGCUUCACGGGAAUUAUAAGCCAGAUGGAGCAGUUUAUAAUUUGUUAAUAUUUAGUCAUUCUAGAAGCCUUAAUGUUGAUAAGGCAUAUAAUAUGUACAAGGAGAUGGUGCAUUAUGGUUUUGAUCCUCAUAUGUUCUCUGUGCUUGCUCUUAUUAAAGCUCUAUAUCAUGUUAGAAGGUACGAUGAGACGCGUUGGGUAAUUCAAAACACAUUGAGGAGCUGUAAUCUCAAUGAUUCUGAGCUACCUAAAGUACUUGAUGAAAUUGAUGUCAGGAAAUUUCAAAUUCAUGCUCUUCUGUCUGUGCUAGCUGAAAUAGCCGUGGAUGGCCUGUUACUUGAUGGUGGAAAGUGUUCAUAUGCUUCAGCGUCAUCACACCGCUUCUCUCCCACCACCAUUAUUGUCUUCUUGAUUUUUAUCAUAAAAGGUUUGGUGGAACUGAGUCUCGGAUGAAAACUUGCUAUUAUAGUAGCUGUGGGUUCAACUCUGUCAAAGGUGAGAGCUGAAUAUAUCACGAUGCCAUAGAUUAAGCUCUCUUUUCAUAGUCCCUUUUUCCUGUGGGACAAGAUAAGAAGCUUUAGCUCGUAUGAGGAACCUCUUGGGGUUUGAGAACAUCACGAUAAUUACUAUAUAUGUUAUUUUGAGUGUCUUGAAUGUAAGACUGGAACUUGUAUUCUAGGAUUUUCUGAAUGUAUGAUGUUAUACUUCAACGAAGUUAUUAUAUUAAGUCCUUAUAAUUACUAUAGAUGUUAUUUUGAGAAGUGUCUGGAAUGUAAGACUGGAACUUGUAUUGUAGGAUUUUCUGAAUGUAUGAUGUUAACUUCAAGUCUUCAA